AAGAAAAUAGUUCAAUUUAGAACGAUGCGUUGAAGGUGCAUAGGUGAUUUAGAUCUUUCUUG
rnacentral:tRNA from 1 species